rnacentral:rRNA from 1 species
GACGAACGCUGGCGGCGUGCUUAACACAUGCAAGUCGAACGGUGAAGGGGAGCUUGCUCCCCGGAUCAGUGGCGAACGGGUGAGUAACACGUGGGCAACCUGCCCCAGACUUCGGGAUAACGCUUCGAGAGAGGUGCUAAUACCGGAUACGAACUCCUUGGGCAUCCUGGGAGUUGGAAAGUUUUUCGGUCUGGGAUGGGCCCGCGGCCUAUCAGCUAGUUGGUGAGGUAACGGCUCACCAAGGCGACGACGGGUAGCCGGCCUGAGAGGGCGGCCGGCCACACUGGGACUGAGACACGGCCCAGACUCCUCCGGGAGGCAGCAGUGGGGAAUAUUGCGCAAUGGGCGAAAGCCUGACGCAGCAACGCCGCGUGAGGGAUGACGGCCUUCGGGUUGUAAACCUCUUUUAGCAGGGAAGAAGCGAAAGUGACGGUACCUGCAGAAAAAGCACCGGCUAACUACGUGCCAGCCGCCGCCGUAAAAC